CUCCUUUUCCAGUGUCGGUACACCAUUCGAGUUUGGGGCAUGAUCAAAGCAUGGCUUGCCCUUCAUGAUUUACAGCCAGGCGAGUGGGUUGUUCUGAACUCAGUUAAGGAUUGAUGGAGUCAGAAUGCCACAAAGCAGACUCCGUCAAGAAGGCCGCUUGUCUCACUGAUGAUGCUCAUCUCUUGGGAAAUUUGGAAGGAACGUAACGCGAGAGUUUUCCGCAACGCUGCAGUACCGGUGGGAGUGUUGGUCGCCAAGAUCAAAGAGGAGUGCUCGCUUUGGAGCUUUGCGGGAGCAAAAUAUUUGAGUAACAUUAUGCCGCGAGAGUAA
rnacentral:rRNA from 1 species